CAGAAUCUACUGGGACCCAAACCCGAGAGCACCGAGUUCCCACGAGCCAAUGCCUGGCUGUGGAGGAACCGGGAGGUCACAGGGAUGCAAUGGGCAACAUCAGGAUGAGGCAGGUUCAGCUUGGUUGUGACCUCUGCUAGAAGCCCUCCCUGGCCUCCCUGUGCACUGAGCUGGUGGUUCCUCCUUUGCGCCCCAGGUACAUGCUCAGAUCUGUGUACCCUACACUUUGUCCUCCAGCUUCGUGUUUGGAUGUUCACAACUCCCAUGAGAAGGGCCCCCGAGAGCUGGCACAGUGCAUGUGUUUCCUCUCCAGACUUCUACAAACCUGGCACAUAAUUGUUUGCUGAAAGAUGGCAUGUUCCUAAAACAGAGGAAGUAGAACCGAAUAAAGCGAAAUCCAACUUCCCAC
rnacentral:lncRNA from 1 species